UGGGGAAUAUUGCACAAUGGGCGCAAGCCUGAUGCAGCCAUGCCGCGUGUAUGAAGAAGGCCUUCGGGUUGUAAAGUACUUUCAGCGGGGAGGAAGGCGACGGGGUUAAUAACCCUGUUGAUUGACGUUACCCGCAGAAGAAGCACCGGCUAACUCCGUGCCAGCAGCCGCGGUAAUACGGAGGGUGCAAGCGUUAAUCGGAAUUACUGGGCGUAAAGCGCACGCAGGCGGUCUGUUAAGUCAGAUGUGAAAUCCCCGGGCUUAACCUGGGAACUGCAUUUGAAACUGGCAGGCUUGAGUCUUGUAGAGGGGGGUAGAAUUCCAGGUGUAGCGGUGAAAUGCGUAGAGAUCUGGAGGAAUACCGGUGGCGAAGGCGGCCCCCUGGACAAAGACUGACGCUCAGGUGCGAAAGCGUGGGGAGCAAACA
rnacentral:rRNA from 1 species